GGAGACCCACAUGCCCACUUCUCCUUCCCCACCCCAUUUCUGGGACGGGCCUCGUUCUUAUUUAUUUGAGGGCUCAAAUAAAAACUACAACCCCCGAAAGACUAAGAGCAAGAAUCUUAAACCCACAUAUCCUUUACAUCAUAGCAUAUAAAGCAGUACCAUUGAUCCUAUAUUCAAAUUAAUUGGUGUGUAUAUCUACUACUAAUUCGAUUUUUAACCUUGCCCCUCAUUCAUUCCCGCCACAACCACCAAUGGUAAUCAAGCCAGCCAAGCCCAGGGAGCAGCUUCACCUUCUCCCCCCCCCACACUGAUCCCACACUUUUCCUAAUUCCCACCUCUUUAUUUUUUUCACUUUUGUCAAAAAUAGAUUAGACGAACAGAUGGCAUCUAUAAGAUUAUGAUAGGGUCGGGACCUGUGGGUCCCAAAUUCCACCUCUUUGACAUAAGAGUCGUAUUUCUUAAAAGAAAGAAGGCGGUCCCUUGGGGUAGAACAAAAACUCCCGAAUUUCAUUUCGUUUGUUCAGUUCAUUCAGCUCAUCCCGGGAAUACUCGUCGGAGAGCAGAGCUUUCUCAAUAGCCCUUUCUAUUUUUACUUGUGCGUCCAUCACUUUUUCUUUCUGAGAUUCCGACAACCCCACAAAAUGAAACCCCGCGCGCUCAU
rnacentral:lncRNA from 1 species